rnacentral:rRNA from 1 species
CAGAUGACCCCUUCGGGGUGAUUCUGGCGGAAUGAGCGGCGGACGGGUGAGUAACACGUGGGCAACCUGCCUGUAAGACUGGGAUAACUCCGGGAAACCGGGGCUAAUACCGGAUAGUAUUUCCUUUCUCCUGAUCGGAAAUGGAAAGACGGUUUCGGCUGUCACUUACAGAUGGGCCCGCGGUGCAUUAGCUAGUUGGCGGGGUAACGGCCCACCAAGGCGACGAUGCAUAGCCGACCUGAGAGGGUGAUCGGCCACACUGGGACUGAGACACGGCCCAGACUCCUACGGGAGGCAGCAGUAGGGAAUCUUCCGCAAUGGACGAAAGUCUGACGGAGCAACGCCGCGUGAGCGAUGAAGGCCUUCGGGUCGUAAAGCUCUGUUGUCAGGGAAGAACAAGUACAAGAGUAACUGCUUGUACCUUGACGGUACCUGACCAGAAAGCCCCGGCUAACUACGUGCCAGCAGCCGCGGUAAUACGUAGGGGGCAAGCGUUGUCCGGAAUUAUUGGGCGUAAAGGGCGCGUAGGCGGUUUCUUAAGUCUGAUGUGAAAGCCCACAGCUUAACUGUGGAGGGUCAUUGGAAACUGGGGAACUUGAGUGCAGAAGAGGAGAGUGGAAUUCCACGUGUAGCGGUGAAAUGCGUAGAUAUGUGGAGGAACACCAGUGGCGAAGGCGACUCUCUGGUCUGUAACUGACGCUGAGGCGCGAAAGCGUGGGGAGCAAACAGGAUUAGAUACCCUGGUAGUCCACGCCGUAAACGAUGAGUGCUAGGUGUUAGGGGGUUUCCGCCCCUUAGUGCUGAAGUUAACGCAUUAAGCACUCCGCCU